ACUCCUACGGGAGGCAGCAGUGGGGAAUUUCGGACAAUGGGCGAAAGCCUGAUCCAGCCAUGCCGCGUGCAGGAUGAAGGCCUUCGGGUUGUAAACUGCUUUUGUACGGAACGAAACGGCCUUUUCUAAUAAAGAGGGCUAAUGACGGUACCGUAAGAAUAAGCACCGGCUAACUACGUGCCAGCAGCCGCGGUAAUACGUAGGGUGCAAGCGUUAAUCGGAAUUACUGGGCGUAAAGCGUGCGCAGGCGGUUAUGUAAGACAGUUGUGAAAUCCCCGGGCUCAACCUGGGAACUGCAUCUGUGACUGCAUAGCUAGAGUACGGUAGAGGGGGAUGGAAUUCCGCGUGGAGCAGUGAAAUGCGUAGAUAUGCGGAGGAACACCGAUGGCGAAGGCAAUCCCCUGGACCUGUACUGACGCUCAUGCACGAAAGCGUGGGGAGCAAACAGGAUUAGAAACCCGAGUAGUCCC
rnacentral:rRNA from 1 species